rnacentral:tRNA from 2 species
AGGCGGUUAACUCAGCGGUAGAGUGUCACCUUCACACGGUGGAAGUCAUUGGUUCGAUUCCAAUACCGCCUACCA